rnacentral:rRNA from 1 species
GACGAACGCUGGCGGCGUGCUUAACACAUGCAAGUCGAACGGAAAGGCCCUGCUUUUGUGGGGUGCUCGAGUGGCGAACGGGUGAGUAACACGUGAGUAACCUGCCCUUGACUUUGGGAUAACUUCAGGAAACUGGGGCUAAUACCGGAUAGGAGCUCCUGCUGCAUGGUGGGGGUUGGAAAGUUUCGGCGGUUGGGGAUGGACUCGCGGCUUAUCAGCUUGUUGGUGGGGUAGUGGCUUACCAAGGCUUUGACGGGUAGCCGGCCUGAGAGGGUGACCGGCCACAUUGGGACUGAGAUACGGAGCAGAAUCCUACGGGAGGCAGCAGUGGGGAAUAUUGCACAAUGGGGGGAAGCGUGAUGCAGCAACGCCGCGUGCGGGAUGACGGCCUUCGGGUUGUAAACCGCUUUCGCAUGUGACGAAGCGUGAGUGACGGUAAUGGGUAAAGAAGCACCGGCUAACUACGUG